GCUAGAAGAGUGUGCGCGCGAGAGGCCUAUGGACAAGUCAAGGAACAAGCUAACACAAGCAAUAGCUUCGUCUUGCUGGCCAGUCCACAUUGUGUUGAACGAAUGCUUGGGGGAUAUCAUUCGGAUAGCAUCAAACGACUCAACGUAUGUGUUACCCUCGAGAGCCACCGUCGUUACAAGAAUACACCAGCUGUAUGAAAGCGGAGGAGUUGAAACAUGCAACAGCUGUUGCUCUCACGGGAGAGCACUGGACUUCAGCCAGUAACCACAACUACCUUGGGGUUCUGUGCACCACAUUGAUGAUAACUGGAAACUGCAUUCACAUGCUCUGGCCGUAAUGAAGACAAGAGAGGCACUAUGCUGAAACGUGCACCGGGCAUUUCAUGGAUCUAGCAAAGCAGUGGAACAUUGAAAACAAAGUUACCACCGUUUGCACAGACAGUGAACACAGAGAUGCUCUGGCCCAACAGAAUACUAACAUCACCAUGCCAACCACAGCUGAAUUGGAGAAACUGUAGAAGUUGGAGGCACUGCAGGUACUUGCCUGAACUUCUGGGAGGAGAGAAGUAAAUUUCCUGCUCUGUGGUGUUGCCUGCUUUCUGCCAUCUCCUUCAGGUGAUGGAGAGCUCCAAUGAUGACCUUGUCUAAAUGGUAAGAUUCAAGCUGACAUUCACAACAGAGAAACGCAAGUGGAGAAAACACCAACCUCACAUGGCUGAAGAACGCCACAGCACUCGACCCAAGGUUUAAGGACCUGAAGUGCCUUCCCAGACCUGAGAGGGGUGAGGUGUGGGCUUUGGUCAGCAACUUGCUGAAGGAAGAGAGGCCUGCACAGCAACCUGAUGAAGCAACAGAGACAGAGCAACUAAAGAAGAAAGCUGCCAAAAAGCUACAGAAUAUUUUUCGUGUUUCAGUCCUUACAUUCCUAUAACUGAAUAAACUGCUUUUUUUAAAUGGAAAUAUGUUAAUUUAGCAACAAAUUUGAGCAACAAAAAAAAGUGUGAUUAAUCGCGAUUAACUACAGAAUUUAAUGCAAUUAAUUAUUUGAAUAAUUUGACAGCCCUAUAUUAAAUGUUUUGAAAUCUCACAGUAUCAACUUCGCUGUAGCUUUCUUUUAUGCCUGCUACAGUACAUUACUGCAGACACGGUCAUCUGAGCCACCCGAUUGGCCAGCGGUAGGCCUAUAGUCUACAGUGCACUUGAUUUGCUCUCUGGACCGGCCAGGAAGGCAGAUUUUGUGCCUUCAGACACAUCAAAUGGUUCAAAAUUGCAACAGUUCGACUACCCGGCGAGCAGGGCAGCUGAAUCAGGUGCAACUACCGCCAACAGCCCUAUAAAAUGAAAUUAAAAUGGGAACACAAGGCUUUAUCAUUGUUGUUUUUUACAGAAAUGUUUGGCGAUCAACUAGAAAUGCCUUGGAGAUCGACCAGUCGAUCACGAUCAACCGGUUGGUGAACACUGCUCUUGGAAGUUGAGUGAAGUUCAAUCUCUGUUGGCUGAUAUUUCUGCUUCUCGAGGCUACUGCACGCAUGUUACUUGUCUCCACAUAAACCCGAUUAAACAUGUUUACACUGAA